GCUGGCGGGAUGCUUUACACAUGCAAGUCGAACGGCAGCAUGGAGAGCUUGCUCUCUGAUGGCGAGUGGCGAACGGGUGAGUAAUAUAUCGGAACGUGCCCAGUAAUGGGGAAUAACUAAUUGAAAGAUUAGCUAAUACCGCAUACGACCUACGGGUGAAAGCAGGGGAUCUUCGGACCUUGCGUUAUUGGAGCGGCCGAUAUCUGAUUAGCUAGUUGGUAGGGUAAAAGCCUACCAAGGCGACGAUCAGUAGCUG
rnacentral:rRNA from 1 species